rnacentral:snRNA from 1 species
GUGCUCGCUAUGGCAGCACAUAUACUAAAAUAGGAAUGAUACAGAGAAGAUUAGCAUGGCCCCUGUGCAAGGAUGACACACAAAUUAGUGAAGCGUUCCAUGUUUUU